rnacentral:tRNA from 1 species
GGCGCUGUGGCUCAAAGUGGUAGAGCAUUAGCCUUGAAUGAAAAGCUAAAGAACAGUGCCU